rnacentral:tRNA from 1 species
GGUCUACUGGCGCAAUGGUAGCGUAUCAGCCUUCUACUUCUAUUGGAGCAGAGGCUAGCUGAGGGUUGCGGGUUCGAGCCCCGCGUGGACCU